rnacentral:misc_RNA from 1 species
AGUAUUCAACGUUUAUGGACUCUUGAGUCACACGCUGUGUUUAUCUCUGUUUUAUCAAAGUAUUUAUUGUGUAAUUAUCGAAUAGCGAUAAACUGAUAUAGCACAAUAACCAAUAAUCGUCGGUUCUUAACGGUCACGCCGACUUUUUGUAUUCUAUUCUGUGCGUUUCAACGUAAAGCCGCGAGACUUCAGCUAUGCGCUUUUUCGCAGGUCUCAAGAAGCGCAUGUAAAACGGUGCGUUUAAUAAUUACGCCAUUCUCGGCGCCGGUUGUGCACUGCAGCAAACGCGAUUUCGCGGCGUCGCGGCACACAAAUGCGUGGACAGUGAGUUUUAACCGGUCGGACAGAGCUGCGAGUUGGCGCACGGUGGAUCGGCAACGGCCAGCCAGUAGAAGCGUCAGGCUUGGCGGCGGUGGCAGUGGCGGAGAGGACAGAGGUGAAGGCGGCGGUGAAGGCGGUGGCGGAGGCGGCGGGGAAGCUGUUCAUCGAACGGAACAGCCGCGCGCGCGGUGAUACGGACGGCGAGCUGUUGUACGGUUCGUGAAACGGGCACGGGCAUAUCUCGAAAAGGAGGCGACGGCUGACGGCGUUUCCCUGCUGGUUGCCGGUACUUGUACGAGGCUCGAAGAUGGCAGACACGAGCCAACAAGCAUUAAGCGAACCACACACGAACGGAGUGGUGGACGGUUUGACGGAGGAUGAAAAAAGCAAGAUGAGACCCGCCGAUAUCGACGCGGAUAUGCGAGAAAUGGAGAGGAGAAAGAGGGUCGAGAUGAUGAUGAAUUCGCGGAUCUUCCGAGAAGAAUUGGAACGUAUAAUCGAGACACAGAUGAAGGACGGUGCUGGACCCUCCGGUCUUCUGCAACAGAUCUCUGACAUGAUGGGCGCGCAGGGAGCCCGAUUCAACGGCAAUGUGUUCAAAAAUUCAAAUUGCGUCUUACCUAUCAACGACAUUCGCGGCGUGGAGAGCAUGGGAUAUGCCAAGGGCGAGAAGCUGCUGCGAUGCAAGCUGGCGGCGGUCUUCAGAUUGCUCGAUCUAUACGGAUGGACGCAGGGCGUCGGCGGGCACAUCACCGCCCGUCUCAAUCAGGAUCAGGAACAUUUCCUGGUGAAUCCGUAUGGGUUACUUUAUCACGAGGUCACAGCCUCCAGUCUGAUCAAGGUGGACAUGCAAGGCGCGGUUGUCGAGCAGGGGACGACGAACUUCGGCGUACAUAUAACAAGUUUCCAAUUGCAUUCGACAAUACACGCCGCGAGACCCGAUAUCAAAUGUAUUAUUCAUAUUACAACUCCGUCCGUUACCGCGGUCUCUUCUUUGAAGUGUGGAUUGUUACCAAUCGGACAGGAGAGCAUAGUGAUAGGCGAGGUGAGCACUCACCAGUACAUCGGAGGCUCCGUCGAACCGGAAGAACGGGAGAAGAUCGCGAGGAACCUCGGGCCGAUGAAUAAAGUUAUGCUUCUGACGAACCGCGGCGCACUUUGCUGCGGAGAGACGGUGGAAGAGGCGUUCUUCAACGUUUACAAUACUGUGGUCGCUUGCGAGACGCAAUUGAAACUGAUGCCCGCGGGCAUAGACAAUCUAAAUCUCAUCAGCGAGGAAUCGAAGAAAGCUAUAUUUGAGGCCUCGCGGAAACCACCGAUCCCUCAGCAACAGACUUCGGCGGUGGAGUCGUCCGCUCUCGCCGAGAAGCUCGAGAAACGUUGGAGAAUCGGCGGCGCUGAGUUUGAAGCUCUUAUGAGAAUGCUGGACAAUGCUGGAUUCCGUACGGGCUACAUAUAUAGAAAUCCACUCGUGAAAGGAGAACCUCCGAAACCGCGAAAUGAUGUUGAAGUUCCACCGGCUGUAUCGUCCCUAGGAUAUCUACUUGAGGAAGAAGAAUUAUACAAGCAAGGGCUGUGGAAAGGUGGACGUAAAGGCACAGACAGAUCCCGCUGGUUAAAUUCGCCGAAUGUUUACCAGAAGGUCGAGAUCCUGGAAACUGGAACACCUGAUCCUAAAAAGAUCACCAAGUGGGUGUCUGACGGAUCUCCUACCCAUAGCAGUACACCAGUGAAGAUAGAAGGUGCUCUUCAGUUUGUACCGAAAAAUACCAACCCAAAGGAGUUUAAACAAAUACAACAGCAAAUUAAGGAUUAUCGACGAGCAGAAAAGAUAUCAGCCGGUCCACAGUCUCACAUAUUGGAAGGUGUGUCAUGGGAAGAAGCUAAGAAAAUGCAGGACGCGACAAUUAGUGGUACCGGCGAACAAGUAGUCUUAGUAGGAGCCGCUAGCAAGGGUAUUAUACAGCGUGGUUUUCAACACAAUGCGAUGGUGUACAAGACACCUUAUGCCAAAAAUCCAUUCGACGCGGUCACGGAUCAAGAACUCGAUCAGUACAAGAGAGAAAUCGAACGCAAGCAGAAGGGAGAUCCUUACGAUGAAUCACAAUCAGAAUCCGAGGCCUUGUCGUCCUUUAACAUCAGUCGUGCGACGCAUGAAUCCAGCACUGCCAAGAGUCCUAUUCAAUCACCGGUUUCUGUUACUUCGGAAACGGAGGAGGAGAGUAGAGACGAACCCCGAGUAUUGCGAAUAGAAACGAAACAAGUGCCUGCGCCGAGUCAACCCGAAGUUGUAUUAAGCGAUGUGAAUGAUGCUACUACAGAGUACCUUAAUGAGAUGCGCUACAGAUCGAUCGAGCGGCAAAAAAACGGUUACAAAGGAGGGGUUUGCUUGAGAAUGAUUUGAUUUUAACGCAUCCGAGAAUGAGUACUUUGGUGAAAGUCGGCAAGCAUCGUUUCCCGAAAGGAGAGAAUACCGUAAAUGGCGAUCACUCGGAUGCUCAUCACAGUACUUUUUCGCAAAGUAGCAAGGAG